AGUGAAUUGCCAUUCAUGGCAUUCUUUUGGAAUAACAAUCAACAGAAGCAACAGGAAACUGGGUUAUUUUUAUAUGAACAAAUGGUGGAUGACACACCUAAUUUAAAUAUUGGCAAAAGAUUCUUCCCUUUCUCUGUAAUUCAUCAGCUUCAGCUUUUAUCACUUCUUCAGUAGCUUCAUGGAUGAGUAUUGGAUGAACUGAAGCUGCUGGUUUCCAAAGCAUCAUUGCUAUUGCCCACGAGUUUGAUAGUUAUAGUUUCUGCCACAAAAAAGGUAAACCA
rnacentral:misc_RNA from 1 species